rnacentral:misc_RNA from 1 species
UGGCUCUGGCAUCGAUGAAGAACGCAGCGAAAUGCGAUAAGUAGUGUGAAUUGCAGAAUUCAGCGAAUCAUCGAAUCUUUGAACGCACAUUGCGCCCCUUGGCAUCCCUCGGGGCAUGCCUGUUCGAGCGUCAUCUGACCCCUCAAGCACUGCUUGGUGUUGGGCGCCUGUCCCGCCUCCCGCGCGCGGACUCGCCCCGAAGACAUUGGCGGCCCGUCCACCGGCCACGAGCGCAGCACUCGCGCCCGCGUGGCCUGGCGGCGGGCGUCCAGGAAGCGUCCACCCCCCGAACUUUGACCUCGGAUCAGGCAGGGAUACCCGCUGA